rnacentral:lncRNA from 1 species
UUUGGGUGUUACAUAUACCAAUAUAUAAAGUUUUGUAUGUCAUUAUCCUUAUAAACAAAAUCUACUUGUUAAUAAAAAUUUUUAAAUACCCUUUAAUAUCCUAGUCAAAUUUUAGUAUAAUAUAACAACUUAUUAUUGAAGAACAAUUAUAAUGUGAGAGGAGAUUAAAUGUGUAGAGUUGAUUAUUUUGUGCAAACGAUGAAAAACAUAAGU